GCCAGCAACAUACCACCCUGCAUCCUACUGCUGGCUUGCUUCUGAAGCUAAGCAGGGUUGGUCCUGGAUGGGAGACCAGAUGCUGCUGGAA
ensembl:rRNA 5S_rRNA 5S ribosomal RNA